rnacentral:rRNA from 1 species
GAUGAACGCUAGCUACAGGCUUAACACAUGCAAGUCGAGCGGGGUGAUGGUGCUUGCACUAUCACUUAGCGGCGGGCGGGUGAGUAAUGCUUAGGAAUCUGCCUAUUAGUGGGGGACAACAUCUCGAAAGGGGUGCUAAUACCGCAUACGUCCUACGGGAGAAAGCAGGGGAUCACUUGUGACCUUGCGCUAAUAGAUGAGCCUAAGUCGGAUUAGCUAGUUGGUGGGGUAAAGGCCUACCAAGGCGACGAUCUGUAGCGGGUCUGAGAGGAUGAUCCGCCAACCUGGGACUGAGACACGGCCCAGACUCCUACGGGAGGAAGCAGUGGGGAAUAUUGGACAAUGGGGGGAACCCUGAUCCAGCCAUGCCGCGUGUGUGAAGAAGGCCUUAUGGUUGUAAAGCACUUUAAGCGAGGAGGAGGCUCUUUUGGUUAAUACCCAAGAUGAGUGGACGUUACUCGCAGAAUAAGCACCGGCUAACUCUGUGCCAGCAGCCGCCGUAA